GGGUUGGGAGGUUAAGCGACUAAGCGUACACGGUGGAUGCCCUGGCAGUCAGAGGCGAGGCAGAGCGUGCUAAUAGGCGGUAAGCGCCGGUAAGGUGAUAUGAACCGUUAUAACCGGCGAUCCCCGAAUGGGGAAGCCCAGUGUGAUUCGUCACACUAUCAUUAGCUGAAUCCGUAGGUUAGUGUGGCGAGCCGUGGGAACUGCAACAUGUAAGUACUCCGACGAAAAGAAGUCAUCCGAGAUUCCCCGAGUAGGGGCGAGCGAACGGGGAGAAGCCCGGAGCCUGAGUCAGCAUGUGUGUUAGUGGAAGCGUGAGGAAAGGCGCGGGAUACAGGGUGACAGCCACGUACACAAAAGCGCAUGUGCUGUGAGCUCGAUGCGUAGCGCGGUACACGUGGUAUCCUGUCUGAAUAGCGGGGGACCAGCGGCCAAGGCUAAAUACUCCUGACUGACCGAGAGUGAACCACGACCGCGAGGGACAGGCGUCGAGAACCCCGCCGAGGGGACUGUAAAAGCACCUGAAACCGUGUACCUCCCAGCCGUGGGAGCACCCUAUUGGGCGUGACUGCCUCCCUUUUG
rnacentral:rRNA from 1 species